rnacentral:rRNA from 1 species
CAGGAGGAUGGGGGUAUUGAUAAAGAUGUGAACCAUCGAAUCAAAGCCGGAUGGAUGAAGUGGCGCCAAGCUUCUGGCAUUCUCUGUGACAAGAGAGUGCCACAAAAGCUAAAAGGCAAGUUCUACAGGACGGCGGUUCGACCCGCAAUGUUGUAUGGCUCUGAGUGUUGGCCAACUAAAAGGCGAUAUGUUCAACAGUUAGGUGUGGCGGAGAUGCGUAUGUUGAGAUGGAUGUGUGGCCACACGAGGAAGGAUCAAGUCCGGAAUGAUGAUAUACGAGAUAGAGUUGGGGUAGCACCAAUUGAAGAGAAGCUUGUC